rnacentral:rRNA from 1 species
UGGUCGAUAGAACAAUGUAGGUAAGGGAAGUCGGCAAAUCGGAUCCGUAACUUCGGGAAAAGGAUUGGCUCUGAGGAUCGGGGCGGUCGGGCCGGAUCAGGAAGUAGUUUGUGCUCACGUGCUGGGCCUGGACAAGGCUUUCGGGCUGAGUUCGGUCCCAUGCCGCGGCCUGCUAUGGAUCGGUUCGGCUAGGAGAGCCCGUGGUUCACGCUGCGGGAGUCCUCUCUUCGGCCUCCAUUGAACGAUCAGCUCAGAACUGGCACGGACCGGGGGAAUCCGACUGUCUAAUUAAAACAAAGCAUUGUGAUGGCUCUUGCGGGUGUUGACACAAUGUGAUUUCUGCCCAGUGCUUUGAAUGUCAAAGUGAAGAAAUUCAUCCAAGCGCAAGUUAACGGCGGGAGUAACUAUGACUCUCUUAAGGUAGCCAAAUGCCUCGUCAUCUAAUUAGUGACGCGCAUGAAUGGAUUAACGAGAUUCCCACUGUCCCUAUCUACUAUCUAGCGAAACCGCAGACAAGGGAACGGACUUGUGAUUAUCGGCGGGGAAAGAAGACCCUGUUGAGCUUGACUCUAGUCUGGCAUUGUGAGGAGACACGAGAGGUGUAGCAUAAGUGGGAGACUUCGGUCGACUUUGAAAUACCACUACUCCCGUCGUUUCCUCACUUACUCGGUGAGGCGGGAAGCGGCCGCAGUGUCUUCGGACGCUGUUGUCGGAAUUGUUGAGCCAAGUCCCUAGUCUCUUAGAGAGCGGGUGCUUUUUGGAGGGCGUAGUGUCUGGGCAACUGGGUGCUGCGUUUGAAGAUUAGUGCUGGGACGACUCGAUCCGAGGA